ensembl:lncRNA
CAAUCUGCCACAUUACCGAUUGACAAUAAACGUUUACUGUAAUGUUCAACUGUUGUCUAUCGUUUAAAUUAUUAUGAAAGCAUGUCGGAUUACCUGAAAUCGCUGGUCUUUUAUUGAUAAACUGGGAGGAGGGGUGCGAAUCGGUCGGUGUGAUGGCCGACGGCUGCGCUUACAUGACGCCCGUGAACAUCACGCCCUUUCCCAUCCUGCGCGCAGGCGGAAGUUUACAGUCCUGGCUCAUCCGAUUCUCCAUGCUCAGAGUCUAAUCAAACAAUAAAACAUCAGCAUCCGCCUCUAGCAUACCAUGACUGAACCGAGUCCGGCACAGAAAAGCUCACAGCCAGGUCAAGAGAUGGCGUCAGUGAAGCUGGAGGACUGCAGUCAAACACUGGAGCUCAAUGUGAUUGUCAAAGAAGAGGAAGAGGAGGAUGAGAGAAGAACCGAGGAAGAGAACGGGGGAGUAGAACAGGAAAGGGAAGAUGAACUGGAGAGGGAAGAUGGUAACAUUGACUCCGAUAUGGAAGAAGAGGAGGACCAGAAAGGAGGAGGAGAUCUGGCUAACCCAGGUAAUAAAGUACACUAGCCAGGGAAUAGAAUAGAUGAGGACCAGAAAGGAGGAGGAGAUCAGGCUAACCCAGGUAAUAAAGUACACUAGCCAGGGAAUAGAAUAGAGGAGGACCAGAAAGGAGGAGGAGAUCUGGCUAACCCAGGUAAUAAAGUACACUAGCCAGGGAAUAGAAUAGAUGAGGACCAGAAAGGAGGAGGAGAUCAGGCUAACCCAGGUAAUAAAGUACACUAGCCAGGGAAUAGAAUAUAUGUAUUUAUUAUCCCAAGACCUUAUUAUUUGAAUAUUGAUUGAUUUUAAUGUAUUAGGUAAUUAAAAGUUAGUAGUCUGCUCCAGCUGAAGACGACACGACAUAACACGACAUAACAUGACAUAACAUGAACAAUUAUUCAGGAUAAAAGCACUGAAGUCCAAAGGCUUAUUUCCAUUGUGGUCCUGUGAGAUGGCAGGUGGGCAUGAUUUACACAUUAUUCUCAAUGCAAUUUAAAACAACAGUAUCAUCAAUUACAAAUAUAUACAACUUAGAACAAUUAACAGCACAGAGGUGCUCGUUUUAAGAGUCACUUCUUGAAAGAAUAGCCUACCCCUAAUUACACCAUUACGUUACUUUUCAGAUAUUUCUUAAGUGGCACUUUACAGGUUCAGUUCCACAGAACUACAGCAGAGUGCCUGAAUGUGUUUCCCCCAAGGAGCUGUUGACUCUACAGGGAACCAAGUUAGAGCUCCCUCUGGUGGAGUACUGAUGGGGGAGGCAUUUAUAUUAUCAAGUGUUUUAGAUCUUUUGGUUUGACGUUUUACAGGACUUGUUACUGUUAAAAGAGAAGAAGAGGAGGAGGAGGGGGUCGGAGAGGAGGAGGUUGGGGACAGGACCAACCCAGGUAAUCACUGAUCAGAACAUCGGAGACCAGUUUCAUGGAACCCAGCUCCCUAUAUAGAGCACUACCUUUGAGGAGGGCCCAGAGGGCUGAGUGACUGCUUAUAGCUGUCAUUCUUGUAUGUACUAAACUGUGCCCCCUAACCAAAUAACUCCUGAUCAGUUUAAAUUAAAUAGGGCUCUUAGAGGAGUCAUCUUCCCUUUCUACCUUCCUACACACCAAUGCAUAGUGUUAUAUACAGUAUAAUAAACUGGGUGGGUCGAGCCCUGUAUGCUGAUUGGCUGACAGCCUUGGUUUAUCAGACCGUAUACCACGGGUAUGACAUAACAUUUAUUUGUACUGCUCUAACUACGUUGGUAACCAGUUUAUAAUAGCAAUAAGGCACCUCGGCGGUUUGUGAUAUAUGGCCAAUAUACCACGGCUAAGGGCUGUAUCCAGGCACUCCUCCUGUAUUUAACCCCUGUGAUGUUGUUAUAGAAACAGGAGAGGGUGCCAGCUCAGACAGAGAGAGACCGUUCCUCUGCUCCCAGUGUGGUAAGAGGUUCACUGCACCAAGCAGCCUGAAGACUCACAUGCAGAGACACAGCGGAGAGAAACCCCACCAGUGCUCCGUCUGUGGGAAGCGCUUCCUGCGGUCCACAGACCUGAAGAGACACCAGAUGAUCCACAAAGGUAAGAGAGACACUCACACACCUGGCGUCGCUCCUCACACACCUGGCGUCGCUCCUCACACACCUGGCGUCGCUCCUCACACACAUCUCUCUUGGAACACUGUCAAUCAACGUAUCCACACCAGUGCACCUGUUUAUCAGUUACAUAAGUUGAUCUAUAUGGUGUAGGAUCAUUUCCAUGUAAAACGACCCAUGAGCACCAACGUGAAGUUCAUUGGAGCAUGUCAAAUUGGGUGUCAAAUGAAAGCAUAGAGCCUAUAUUUUUAAGAAAUGAAGGCAUACAUACAUUUUGAACCAUUUUCCAUCCCCAAAAAUGUGAAUAAGCAAAGGCUUAUUGGACAAGGGGUCUUAAAAAACAUCUACCAGAAAAAGUCCUAGAAGGUAUCAGAAAUACAUCAAAACAGAAUAAUAUUGAAGUAAAAACCCUGCCAACUAAUAUCAACACUUUUAUAUUUAGUUUUGGAUAAAUUUGACUGAAACAUUGCCUUGUGCCUUGAAAUACAGUUACUAAAAACCCACAUCUUGAAUAUAUUUUCUAAUGUCUCUCCCUCAUGAGGAGGAUAAUGAAAGUUCACAAAAGUAACAAGUAAAUGUAGACCUACCAAUUAGUUAUAGUGUUUUCACUGAUAUCAAAUUCGUUUAUGAAUUCAAAAUUAUUUGACCCCCCCUCCAAAUGUUUUUAUCGGUAACAGAAAUUCUGCUCUUGAAUAGACUAUAAUGGGACAUCAUAGUAGUUACAAACCUCAGUUGGGUCACAAACCAAUCAAUCACAUGUAUUUAUAAAGCCAUUCUUACAUCAGCUGAUGUCACAAAGUGCUGUACAGAAACCCAGCCUAAAACCCAAACAGUAAGCAAUGCAGGUGCAGAAGCACGGUGGCUUGGAAAAACUCCCUAGAAAGGCCGAAACCUAGAGAGGAACCAGGCUAUGAGGGGUGGCCAGUCCUCUUCUGGCUGUGCCGGGUGUAGAUUAUAACAGAACAUGGCCAAGAUGUUCAAAUGUUCAUAGAUGACCAGCAGGGUCAGAUGAUAAUAAUAAUCACAGUGGUUGUCGAGGGUGCAACAGGUCAGCACCUCAGGAGUAAAUGUCCGUUGGCUUUUCAUAGCCAGUCAUUCAGAGUAUCUCUACCGCUCCUGCUGUCUCUAGAGUGUUUAAAACAGAAGGUCUGGGACAAGGUAGCACGUUCGGUGAACAGGUCAGGGUUCCGUAGCCGCAGGCAGAACAGUUGAAACUGGAGCAGCAGCAUGACCAGGUGGACUGGGGGCAGCAAGGAGUCAUUCGACCAGGUAGUCCUGAGGCAUGGUCCUAGGGCUCUGGUCCUCCGAUUGAAAGAGAGAGAGAGAAUUAGAGAGAGCAUACUUAAAUUCACACAGGACACAGGAUAAGACAGGAGAAAUACUCCAGAUAUAACAGACUGACCUUAGCCCCCCGACACAAACUAUUGCAGCAUAAAUACUGGAGGCUGAGACAGGAGGGGUCGGGAGACAUUGUGGCCCCGUCCGACGAUACCCCCGGACAGGGCCAAACAGGCAGGAUAUAACCCCACCCACUUUGCCAAAGCACAGCCCCCACACCACUGGAGGGAUUUCUUCAACCACCAACUUACUAUCCUGAGACGAGGCCGAGUAUAGCCCACGAAGUUCUCCCGCACGGCGCCAACCCGGACAGGAAGAUCACGUCAGUGACUCAACCCACUUAAGUGAUGCACCCCUCCUAGGGACAGCAUGGAAGAGCACCAGUAAGCCAGUGACUCAGCCCUCAUAAUAGGGUUUGAGGCAGAGAAUCCCAGUGGAGAGAGGGGAACCGGCCAGGCAGAGACAGCAAG